rnacentral:rRNA from 1 species
GACGAACGCUGGCGGCGUGCCUAACACAUGCAAGUCGAGCGAAUGAAGUUCCUUCGGGAACGGAUUUAGCGGCGGACGGGUGAGUAACACGUGGGCAACCUACCUCAUAGAGGGGAAUAGCCUUCCGAAAGGGAGAUUAAUACCGCAUAAGAUUGUAGUUUCGCAUGAAACAGCAAUUAAAGGAGCAAUCCGCUAUGAUAUGGGCCCGCGGCGCAUUAGCUAGUUGGUGAGGUAACGGCUUACCAAGGGGACGAUGCGUAGCCGACCUGAGAGUGUGAUCGGCCACAUUGGGACUGAUAAACGGCCCAGACUUCUACGGGAGGAAGCAGUGGGGAAUAUUGCACAAUGGGGGAAACCCUGAUGCAGCAACGCCGCGUGAGUGAUGACGGUCUUCGGAUUGUAAAGCUCUGUCUUCAGGGACGAUAAUGACGGUACCUGAGGAGGAAGCCACGGCUAACUACGUGCCAGCCGCCGCAGUAAGAC